rnacentral:rRNA from 1 species
AAGUGGAGCAAUCCAUGAGUAUAGUGGCGACCGGGUGAGUAACACGUGACUAACCUACCCUCGAGUGUGGAAUAACAUCGGGAAACCGAUGCUAAUACCGCAUAACAUCGCAAGAUCAAAGGAGCAAUCCGCUUGAGGAGGGGGUCGCGGCUGAUUAGCUAGUUGGCGGGGUAACGGCCCACCAAGGCGAAGAUCGGUAGCCGGCCUGAGAGGGCGCACGGCCACACUGGAACUGAAACACGGUCCAGACUCCUACGGGAGGCAGCAGUGGGGAAUUUUGCGCAAUGGGGGAAACCCUGACGCAGCAACGCCGCGUGGAGGAUGAAGCCCCUUGGG